rnacentral:lncRNA from 1 species
ACCCAGUGUCACUGCUGAGCUCAGAACUGGGCUUGCUUCUGUUUGCAGGUGAGCAUGGCUGCGAAAGGGCUCCCAGCCUAUCCAGGGCCCCCGUUCCUGGGACGCCCCAUGCCGCGCCCGGUGGUCUAUGGGCCUCCGCCACAACCAAGGCUCUGUGGGACUUUCAGGCCUCGGCCGAUGCCUCCGCCGCGACCGCUGACAUUCGUCUCAUGCAUGGGCCCACCGCUGGGCUUAAGGGAAUACGCGCCCGGCAUCCUGCCCAGACGCUGCGACCUGCCGCUGCACCCCCGUGAGUUCUUGCCGGGACCUGUGCCAUUCAGGCCUCGAGGCCCGAUCAUUCCUGCUCCUCGAAUGCCACCACCACCCGCCGGGCCCCAGGACUACCCACCGCCACCUGCCGCAGGGGAGCCCCUGCUCUCGGAGCCCAAAGAGGCCCCAGCCUCGCCACAAAGCAGCCGAGAACCUGCCCAAGCUCUGAGGCAGAGUGCAUAAUGGCCCCACUAAUCAGAGGCCCAAGGUUUUUAUUGGUUUUGGAGGCCCAGUUCAUUUCAAAAGGAUUUUAUUACUAAGCUGCCUUGAGCGGUGUACAUUUUCAAGCCAAACAAUACAGAAGUCUCAUCUUCCUCUAUAAAAAUUGCCUCUUAAGCUAGAGUGACAUUCCAACUUUGAAAUGUGCAAUAAUGAUCCCUGUGUUUUAGUUAAUAUAGCAUAGAUAUGUAUAAAAUAAUUCAGAAUGUCAUAAAAAUGACUGUUUCCCCUGGAAAUAGUUUAGGAACACAUAUUUCUGACUCAGCCCAUGGGUCAAUCCAGAACCAGGGGGCAGUUUCCUGGUGAAGGAACGGGGAUUGACAGAUGCAGAGUAGGAGACAGAGAGACGGAGACAAGUCGAAGUUCGAU